AAUAGGAAUAGCAAUGGGAAUCUUCUUAUAAGAUUGUUUGGGGGAUUACCUUUAUAAUGCAUCUAAAGCACUUACUACAAUGAAAAACUUCCAGUUAGCUAUGGGAGAUUAGUAUUAUCUCCAUUUUAUAGGAGAAGAAUGUGAAGCUCAGAGACUUUGACUAAAGAAAGAGGAAAUCAAUGCCCCUCCUGGAUAAAAGUCAAAGCUUCAGGUUCUAUGGUUCAAAAUCAUUACCUCUGCCUCAAGGUACCAUAACUUCCUGGAGUUAUGUUCUCUAGAAGAGAUUUGAAGAGUCCCCAGGUUUCCUUGGAAACUGGCCAACAUUUAUGGGUAUUAUUACCUGGAAGAAAGACUCUGUCAGUAUUCCUUCAGUUAUACAUAGCAAUAAAACCCAUCUCACACUUUCUUAAAGAAUUAAUGUUUUAAUUGGGUCAUGUAACCAAAAGUCCAGGAACCCAACUAGAAAAACAUGCUCAAAAGACCUUGUUAAAAGUCUACCUUUUGCUUCUUAUAAAGUGAAGUAUAAAGUUCAGCAUACACUUAGCAUGCUACUGAGAAAUUCCAUGCCUAUGUAUUUGCCCAAGGGAAUUGAAAAUCACACAAAGAGCUAUGCGCUAAUAUUCAUAGAAGCUUUAUUCAUAAUAUCCCAACCUGGAAACAACUCAAAUGUCCAUCAACCGGAGACUUAAUAAACUGUGGAAUAUCCACACAAUGGAGUAGUUCUCAACAAUAAAAAGAAUGAAUACCGAUACACACAAAAACAAGGUUGAAUCUCAAAAGCAUUAUGAGUGAAAGAAGCCAGGCACAUCUGUAUGAUUCUGUUUAUAUGAGAUUCUAAAAAGGAAAACCUAUGGUGACAGAGUAGACAAGUGGUUGCCUGGAGUUGGGUGGAGUAACUGACUACAAACAAACUAAGGUGAUGACAAUAUUCCAUCUCUUGAUUGUCAUGGAGGUUACCUGACCGACCACAUGCAUGUGUCAAAAUGUAUCAAAAUGUACACUUAACAUGGGAGCAUGUUAUUUUAUGUAAA
rnacentral:lncRNA from 1 species